rnacentral:rRNA from 1 species
UACAGAGGGGGCAAGCGUUGUUCGGAAUUACUGGGCGUGAAGGGCGCGUAGGCGGCCCGCUAAGUCGAACGUGAAAUCCCCGAGCUCAACUCGGGAACUGCGUCCGAUACUGGCGGGCUUGAAUCCGGGAGAGGGAUGCGGAAUUCCAGGUGUAGCGGUGAAAUGCGUAGAUAUCUGGAGGAACACCGGUGGCGAAGGCGGCAUCCUGGACCGGCAUUGACGCUGAGGCGCGAAAGCGUGGGGAGCAAACAGG